rnacentral:tRNA from 1 species
GGCUUUAUAGUCAAUGUGAUGAUAUGAGAUUGCAAAUCUUGGGUAGUAUUUAUACUAAAGCUU